rfam:Coccidioides posadasii str. Silveira unplaced genomic scaffold supercont2.22, whole genome shotgun sequence.
UACCUGAUUGAUUCUGCCAGUAGUCAUAUGCUUGUCUCAAAGAUUAAGCUAUGCAUGUCUAAGUAUAAGCAAUUUGUACAGUAAAACUGCAAAUGGCUUAUUAAAUCAGUUAUCAUUUAUUUGAUAGUACCUUAUUACAUGGAUACUCAUGGUAAUUCUAGAGCUAAUACAUGCUAAAAACCUCAACUUCAGAAGAGAUGUAUUUAUUAGAUAAAAAACCAAUGCCCUUUGGGGCUCUUUGGUGAUUCAUAAUAGCUUGUCAAAUCACAUGGCCUUGUACUGGUGAUGGUUCAUUCAAAUUUCUGCCCUAUCAACUUUCAAUGGUAGGAUAGUAGCCUAUCAUAGUGGCAACAGGUAACAGGAAAUUAGGGUUUGAUUCUGGAGAGGAAGCCUGAGAAACAGCUAUCAUAUUCAAGAAAGACAGCAGACACACAAAUUACUCAAUCUCAAUACAGAAAGAUAGUAACAAUAAAUACUGAUACAGAGCUCUUUUAGAUCUUGUAAUUAGAAUGAGUACAAUCUAAAUCCCUUAACAAGAAAUAAUUGGAGAGCAAGUCUGAUACCAGCAGCUGUGGUAAUUCCAGCUCCAAUAGCAUAUAUUAAAGUUGUUAUAGUUAAAAAGCUUAUAGUUGAACCUUGGGUCUAGGUGGCUGGUCCACUUUACAGCAUGCACUGGUCUGGCUGGACCUUUUCUUCUGGGGAACCCUAUAGUCUUCACUAACUGUAGAGAGAACCAGGACUUUUACUGUGAAAAAAUUAGAGUAUUCAAAGCAGGCCUUUGCUCAGAUACAUUAGCAUGGAAUAAUAGAAUAGAACAUGUGGUUCUAUUUUGUUGGUUUCUAGAACCAUCAUAAUAAUUAAUAGGGAUAGUCAGAGACAUCAGUAUUUAGCUGUCAGAGAUGAAAUUCUUGAAUUUACUGAAGACUAACUACUGUAAAAGCAUUCAUCAAGAAAGUUUUCAUUAAUCAGUAAACAAAAGUUAGAGAAUUGAAGAUGAUCAGAUAUUAUUAUAGUCUUAACCAUAAACUAUACUGACUAGAGAUCAGAUGAGCAAUUUUGAAUAACCUAUUCAGCACCUUACAAGAAAUCAAAGUUUUUGAGUUCUGGAGGGAGUAUGGUCACAAGGCUGAAACUUAAAAAAAUUAACAGAAGAGCACCACCAGAUGUGGAGCCUGUAGCUUAAUUUAACUUAACACAGAGAAACUCACCAGAUCCAGACAAAAUAAGAAUUAACAGAUUAAGAGCUCUUUCUUGAUCUUUUAAAUGAUGGUGUAUGAUCAUUCUUAAUUGAUGGAGUGAUUUGUCUGCUUAAUUGCAAUAACAAACAAGAUCUUAAUCUGCUAAAUAGCUCAACCCAUGUUUGUGGGCUGCUGACUUCUUAGAGAAACUAUCAGCUCAAGUUAAUAAAAGUUUGAGACAAUAACAGAUCUGUAAUGCUCUUAGAUGUUCUGGGCCAUAUAUAUACUACACUGACAGAGCCAGUGAGUACAUGAUCUUGAUCAAGAGAUCUGGGUAAUCUUAUUAAACUCUGUCAUGCUAGGGAUAGAGCAUUGCAAUUAUUGCUCUUCAACAAGAAAUGCCUAGUAGACACAAGUUAUUAGCUUGUGCUGAUUAUGUCUCUGCUUUUUGUACACACCACCCAUCAUUACUACCAAUUGAAUGGCUCAGUAAAGUCUUCAGACUGACUCAGAGAGAUUGGCAACAACCACCCAGAGCUGGAAAGUUGGUCAAACUUGAUUAUUUAGAGAAAGUAAAAGUUAUAACAAGAUUUCUGUAGAUGAAUCUGCAGAAGAAUCAUUA